GGAGAUGUGGCUCAGUGGUUGGGAGCACUGGCUGCCCUUCUAUGGGGCCUGGGUUCGAUUCCCAGCAUCCACG
rnacentral:tRNA from 1 species